rnacentral:rRNA from 1 species
GUGUCAGCAGCCGCGGUAAGACGUAGGAGGCGAGCGUUAUCCGGAUUCACUGGGCGUAAAGGGCAUGUAGGCGGAUGUGCAAGUCCUGUGUUAAAGCCCCUGGCUCAACUGGGGGAGGUCAUGGGAGACUGCACGUCUGGAGGGCAGCAGAGGAGCGUGGAACUCCCGGUGUAGCGGUGGAAUGCGUAGAGAUCGGGAAGAACACCAGUGGCGAAGGCGACGCUCUGGGCUGCAUCUGACGCUGAGAUGCGAAAGUGUGGGGAGCAAACGGGAUUAGAAACCCCCGUAGUCC